CGCUGUUCUUGCGUUUGCUGUUAACAAAACUCCAGAAAGUUGAGGGAUUAGACUGGAUACCUUGCUGGACACUAUCGAUGUACGUGCAGUGGAGCAACCUAUGCUUCGCCUUAAACGUGUUCGCCAUCAAAUUAUAACUCAGCUUGUCCUGGUCCAACAUUGAUCGCCGAAAUAUGUUGUAGAGUCUUUUCUUUUCCUUCAGCAAGCAUAUGAUUUCAGCGUCAAACCAAGCAGGAUACUUGACUGCAUUGUUGUUAGACUUCCUAAUACUGCAGUGUUUGGAUAGUAUCUCAUAAACUAAUGUGUAGAAAACAGCAACGUUGUAGUCCAAUGGAUUGUCAAUUUUCGAAAAACAUCGAUCAAAGUCAAAGAUCCCGAAAACAUUCAAACGAGAAAUCAAUUCACCUCCGUUAAUCUCAAUAAAAUUGUCGCUGAACGAUUCAGUUGACGAAAAAAUGUGCUGCCAAUCUAUAACCAACAGCUCAUUUGAAAUGGCUGCGUCAUUAACAUUCCUCAAGUCGAGAGACACAUGCUGCAGAUCUUCGGUGGCAUUAUCAAAUUGAGAAGCGUUGACAUCGAUUGAAAGAGUCAUCGCAUUGUGGUGAAUUUCUUGACGUAUAAGUGGCUCACUCACCUCCAGUUGGCAGCUUUCACAGUCGUUCGUAAAUAAUAAGUCCAAAAAUCGAUUGUUUUGAUUUGGUAUACCACACAUCUGUAGCAAACCUUGAGCCGCCAUGUCAUCGACAAAGACAGCCUCCUCUGGUAGGCGCACUUGGAUUGCAGGUAAAAGAUCAGCAGCAAGACGGAUAUCUUCGGCGCAAGACGAAUAACGCCGUAAAUCUGAAUCAGGAGAUUGAUUCGCGAAUAAUAUUGCUGUUAAACCGCCUGUGGACGGCAAUCAAAACUCCUCCUCCAGACUUUUUGUCGGAAUUGGCAACUGAGCGGUCGCAACGAAAGCAUAGGCAUCAAAAUCAAGCUCCAACGAGGACAUAAACACAGUGUGCAUACGAUCUGCACUACGAAUACUGUUGACAUUCUGGUUGUAUUUACAGGUUCACAAUUCGUACUACGGGCACAAUCAAUAACCGGAACAUACACGACAUGUUUAGAAAGGGCAGAGCUAUUCGGACAUUUUGGAGUCGUCGUCGCUGAUCGGCUUCGUCAGCUCCGAGGGUGACUUCUCUGGUGUUUCUUCGUCUGACUCCGACAAAUUGUCCUUGUCGCCUGGCUCCAUCGGUGUCACUACGACUUCCGGCGGCGCUGAGCCGUUCUGGUUCUGCAAUCCAGGACUUUUCGGGGGGUCCACCGGUUGAAAAUUAGUCGCAAAAUCCGCAGAAGCAACACUACGUUCCUCGAACUCGCGAAAAUAAACACCCCUUGGCCAGGUUUCGGCCGACAUUGCCUUAUCCUUAAGCUCCGAAGCAAUGCCCACCUUGAACGAGAUUGUCCUCAUCCUUGAAACAUCAACCCCCUUUGCCACCAAAAGGAACACCUCAACCUCGUCUGUAGCCAAUCGGGAUUUGGCAAAAGCCGAGAUUUGGUCCACUGUGACGUCGUUGGAAAUUCUGGCCAAGUACAGCCAGAACUUCGACUUUCUGUUGCGACUAGGACCAGCUAACUUGUCACCGGGCCCAUUCUCGUAGACGGUGAGUUUCCUUGGAGGAAGAGGUGGCAGCCUGUUCGACUUCGGAGUCAUCGUACUUGAGUUAAUGAGCCUGGAGAAGUUAGCCUGGAUCUCCUCCUUCAACUCUGGCAUGAUCUCGGUCUUGAGAAGCUCGACAAUUGUGGAGCGAUCCUCCUGGUUUUGAUCCUGACCAGCCUCACUGGCAAGCUUCACAGACUUACGGAACCGAAUGUCAUUCAUCAAACGAGUGCAUGAAGGACAUAGCCAGAAUGUUUGUUUGUUUUUUGCCAUCUCUUUUAGCAGCGACUCAGUCGUGCUUGUACAUUUGAGAUGGAAAACUGCACUGCAAAAACCACG